AACGAACGCUGGCGGCAUGCCUAACACAUGCAAGUCGAACGAGACCUUCGGGUCUAGUGGCGCACGGGUGCGUAACGCGUGGGAACCUGCCCUUAGGUUCGGAAUAACUCCCCGAAAGGGGUGCUAAUACCGGAUAAUGUCUUCGGACCAAAGAUUUAUCGCCUUUGGAUGGGCCCGCGUUGGAUUAGCUAGUUGGUAGGGUAAAAGCCUACCAAGGCGACGAUCCAUAGCUGGUCUGAGAGGAUGAUCAGCCACACUGGGACUGAGACACGGCCCAGACUCCUACGGGAGGCAGGAGUGGGGAAUAUUGGACAAUGGGCGAAAGCCUGAUCCAGCAAUGCCGCGUGAGUGAUGAAGGCCUUAGGGUUGUAAAGCUCUUUUACCCGGGAUGAUAAUGACAGUACCGGGAGAAUAAGCCCCGGCUAACUCCGUG
rnacentral:rRNA from 1 species